CCCUUUAUUAAUAUUAAGUUAUUCUAUAUUACUAUAGAAGCCAUUAUGUUAAAACUAGUAAUAAGAAGANAGGCCUUCUCUUGAAUGUACGUAUAAACCAGAAAGGACCCCCCCCCGGUAAUUAAACGUCCGUGAUUAAAAAACAGCAACUUCUACUAGAAAACCCUGUUAUUCNNNNCUAGCGUUAACCUAACACCAGCACAUUUCAAGAAAGAUUAAAAGAAAAAGAAGGAACUCGGCAAAUAUUAACCCCGCCUGUUUACCAAAAACAUCGCCUCUUGNAGCCCNUAUAAGAGGUCUAGCCUGCCCAGUGACUUAGUUUAACGGCCGCGGUAUCCUAACCGUGCGAAGGUAGCGUAAUCACUUGUUCUUUAAAUGAGGACUAGUAUGAAUGGCAUCACGAGGGUUCCACUGUCUCCUUUUUCCAAUCAAUGAAACUGAUCUUCCCGUGAAGAAGCGGGAAUCUUAAUAUUAGACGAGAAGACCCUAUGGAGCUUCAAACUANAAUAGCACUGGCUUUUCCCNNNNCUAUAUACCUCAAGNNNNGGGUAUUAACCCUUAUUCUAGCCUNUUUAACUAUUAGUUUUAGGUUGGGGUGACCGCGGAGCAAAAAUUAACCUCCACAAUGAAUAGCACUANUUCUUGAGCCAAAAGCCACAACUUUAAGCACUAACAAACUAACAUAAAUUGACCCAAUAUUUUGAACAACGAACCAAGUUACCCUAGGGAUAACAGCGCAAUCCUCUUCAAGAGCCCUUAUCGACAAGUGGGUUUACGACCUCNGAUGUUGGAUCAGGAUAUCCCAGUGGUGCAGCCGCUACUAAAGGUUCGUUUGUUCAACGAUUAAAAUCCUACGUGAUCUGAGUUCAGACCGGAGUAAUCCAGGUCAGUUUCUAUCUAUAANAGAGCUUUUUCUAGUACGAAAGGACCGNAAAAAGCAUGGCCAAUACUAAAAGCAAGCCAUCAUAAAUAACUUAUGAGUUAUCCUCAAUAAAAUUUUAAUCUACUAUNNUUCUUUCAAGAAAAAGAAG
rnacentral:rRNA from 1 species